rnacentral:rRNA from 1 species
CUUAUUUCUCCGUGGUAUUAUACGUCUAUCUCUAUGCUACUUAUUGAAGCAUCAAAAAAUAUAGUAAUGGCGAUAAAAAUUAUACUUAUUAUAUUUAAGUACCGCAAGGGAAAAUAUGAACUAGAAAAAAAUAGUUUAUUAAGCGUACUUUUUGUAUCACGGCUUAGCAAGAAUGCAUUAGAUAUACUAAUUUCUCGAAAUCUAACGAGCUAUUUCUUUUUGGCAUAUUAGAGCCUUACCUUUAGAUGUAGCAAAAUCCAAAAAAUAAAUAAAAAUAGAGAUGAAAUUUUAUUCGCGUUAGUGAUAGCUAGUUCUCCCUGAAAAAUAUAAAAGUAUUGAAACAGGAUGGUUAGAAGCUAAUCUUGAGCUUCUAACUAUUCUUGAGUUUCACUCGCCUGAGGAUAAGCUCAGGCGAAAUUUUGAGAAUAGUAUACAUACACCUAUUUCUGUAUGAGCUUAAGAUUGGCCAUUAUAAUAAGUUUGUUAUAAAAUAGUCUACAAACUCAAAGAAGAUCAAUAUACUAAAAUUUCCAAUAUAAAAUAGGGGAGUAUUGUCAGUUAAAAUUUAUUAAAUUAAAUACCGAUGCUAAGAUGAGUAUUAUAUUUAAAGGCAACUUGAAAAAACAAUAAAAAGUUUUCUUAAAAUUCCGUUAUUAUUAACAAACUAAAUAUUUAAAAGGAACUCGGCAAAAUCCUGCUUCGCCUGUUUAUCAAAAACAUGGCUCUUUGUUCUUUUUACAUAAAGAGUCGAGCCUGCCCAGUGAAAAUUUUUAACGGCCGCGGUACUCUGACCGUGCAAAGGUAGCAUAAUCAUUUGCCUUAUAAUUGAAGGCUAGUAUGAAUGGUUUGACGAAAGCAGAUCUGUCUCUUUUUUACUAUCUAGAAUUUAACUUUUAGGUGAAGAGGCCUAAAUAUUAUUGAAGGACAAGAAGACCCUGUCGAGCUUAAAAGAACAGGUAGAAGUUAAUAUGUUUUAAAAUAAAUAGUCUCUGAGCUUUUUAGUUGGGGCGACUAAGGCAACAAAAAAAGCUUCUUGACCAAAAAAACCAACAAGUUUAGAUCCAACCACUUUGAUCAAAGAAAUUAGUUACCGCAGGGAUAACAGCAUAAUCUCUCUUGAGAGACCUAAUCGAAAGAGGGGGUUGUGACCUCGAUGUUGGACUAGAAUAUCCUAAAGAUGCAGAAGUCUUUAAGGGUU